rnacentral:rRNA from 1 species
AUUGAACGCUGGCGGCAUGCCUUACACAUGCAAGUCGAACGGUAGCAGGUCUUCGGAUGCUGACGAGUGGCGAACGGGUGAGUAAUACAUCGGAACGUGCCCGAUCGUGGGGGAUAACGCGGCGAAAGCUGUGCUAAUACCGCAUACGAUCUACGGAUGAAAGCGGGGGAUCUUCGGACCUCGCGCGGACGGAGCGGCCGAUGGCAGAUUAGGUAGUUGGUGGGGUAAAGGCUCACCAAGCCUGCGAUCUGUAGCUGGUCUGAGAGGACGACCAGCCACACUGGGACUGGAACACGGCCCAGACUCCUACGGGAGGCAGCAGUGGGGAAUUUUUGGACAAUGGGCGCAAGCCUGAUCCAGCCAUGCCGCGUGCAGGAUGAAGGCCUUCGGGUUGUAAACUGCUUUUGUACGGAACGAAAAGUCUCUUUUUAAUAAAGAGGGAUCAUGACGGUACCGUAAGAAUAAGCACCGGCUAACUACGUGCCAGCCGCCGCGGUAA